AAUGAUGGACUAUUUCGAUUCCGAAACUGAAUUUGGUCCCUGUUGUUGUAAGGGCACAUGUUCUCAAUAUUGCCCAUGCUUCCAAGCUAUCCAUCCAUCUCGAAAGAACCAAAAUGUAUCAGAACUUGAAACGGUAGUAUUGGUGGCCAGCAAUGAAGAGUUGGAUAAAGGCAAUUACGUCUCUCGAUGCCUCACUUAUCAGUGGAUAAAGGCAGAAUCAGAGACCUGGUGGCUUGUUACA
rnacentral:lncRNA from 1 species